CUGGAGGGCGUUUUACUGCAGGAGUGUGUCUAUGACAUCGUGGUCACGAAAGAUAUCACUUUCUCCAACCAAGAAACAUAUGAACUAGGUUGUCCUGGUCAGUGUAAUGGUAAAGGGAGGUGUGUGAAUAGCACUUGUCAAUGUAACGACGGCUGGACUGGAACUGACUGCUCUAUAGGUUCCUGUGGUGCCUGCGUCAGUGGUGUGUGUGACAGCGGUUUCUGUGUGUGUACUGUGGGCUGGGAAGGGACAGCCUGUGACCAGAAAGCCACGUGUCUGUAUGUGAAUAACUGCACUGACGAGGACCACGGUGUGUGUUACAGGACCAACAGGUGUCGCUGUCUACCAGGAUUUGUGGGUAUGUAUU